rnacentral:rRNA from 1 species
UACGUAGGUGGCAAGCGUUGUCCGGAUUUACUGGGCGUAAAGAGCGCGCAGGCGGUCGGAUCAGUCGAAUGUGAAAGCCCCCGGCUCAACUGGGGAGGGUCAUUCGAUACUGUCCGACUCGAAGGCAGGAGAGGGAAGCGGAAUUCCCGGUGUAGUGGUGAAAUGCGCAGAUAUCAGGAGGAACACCGGUGGCGAAGGCGGUUCUCUGGGCAUGACCUGACGCUGAGGAGCGAAAGUGUGGGGAGCGAACAGG